UAUUAUAUAUAUUAUCCACUGUAGAAUUCCAGAAACCGCAGAAUAUUAGAGGAUACUGCGUUUUGAUAAGCGUUCCUUGCAUUAUUUACCUUUGAAAUCCGUAUUCUUUUUAUAUUAUUAUUUUUCUGGAAAAAUGUACUGUGUACUUUUCUUGCUGAUUGGUACCCAAUGCGGUUUUCGAAGUAACUUUAUUUGAAUUCCGCUUUUAUGUCGUCCCCAUUCACUACCUAAGUACAUGUGUAUAAAUCAUAUAACUGUCUUUAUUUAAUUAUUAAUUGUUGUCAUAAAU
rnacentral:sRNA from 1 species